rnacentral:rRNA from 1 species
ACGAACGCUGGCGGCGUGCCUAACACAUGCAAGUCGAGCGGAGACAGUGAGUAGCUUGCUAUGAGCUGUUUUAGCGGCGGACGGGUGAGUAACGCGUGAGCAACCUUUCCCAGACAGGGGAAUAACACACCGAAAGGUGUACUAAUACCGCAUAAGACCACGGAAUCACAUGGUUCUGAGGUAAAAGAUUUAUCGGUUUGGGGUGGGCUCGCGUCCGAUUAGGUAGUUGGUGAGGUAACGGCCCACCAAGCCGACGAUCGGUAGCCGACCUGAGAGGGUGAUCGGCCACAUUGGGACUGAGACACGGCCCAAACUCCUACGGGAGGCAGCAGUGGGGAAUAUUGGGCAAUGGAGGAAACUCUGACCCAGCAACGCCGCGUGGAGGAAGAAGGUUUUCGGAUCGUAAACUCCUGUCCUUGGAGACGAGUAGAAGACGGUAUCCAAGGAGGAAGCCCCGGCUAACUACGUGCCAGCAGCCGCGGUAAUACGUAGGGGGCAAGCGUUGUCCGGAAUAAUUGGGCGUAAAGGGCGCGUAGGCGGCUCGGUAAGUCUGGAGUGAAAGUCCUGCUUUUAAGGUGGGAAUUGCUUUGGAUACUGUCGGGCUUGAGUGCAGGAGAGGUUAGUGGAAUUCCCAGUGUAGCGGUGAAAUGCGUAGAGAUUGGGAGGAACACCAGUGGCGAAGGCGACUAACUGGACUGUAACUGACGCUGAGGCGCGAAAGUGUGGGGAGCAAACAGGAUUAGAUACCCUGGUAGUCCACACUGUAAACGAUGAAUGCUAGGUGUAGGGGGUAUCGACCCCUUCUGUGCCGCAGUCAACACAAUAAGCAUUCCGCCUGGGGAGUACGGCCGCAAGGUUGAAACUCAAAGGAAUUGACGGGGGCCCGCACAAGCGGAGGAACAUGUGGUUUAAUUCGAUGAUACGCGAGGAACCUUACCCGGGCUUAAAUUGCAGAUGAAUUACGGUGAAAGCCGUAAGCCGCAAGGCAUCUGUGAAGGUGCUGCAUGGUUGUCGUCAGCUCGUGUCGUGAGAUGUUGGGUUAAGUCCCGCAACGAGCGCAACCCUUAUCUUCAGUUACUAACGCGUGAGGGUGAGGACUCUGAAGAGACUGCCGGGGACAACUCGGAGGAAGGUGGGGACGACGUCAAAUCAUCAUGCCCCUUAUGACCUGGGCUACACACGUGCUACAAUGGCCACGACAGAGAGAAGCGAAAUCGUAAGGUAGAGCGGAACUCAAAAAAGUGGUCCCAGUUCGGAUUGUGGGCUGCAACCCGCCCACAUGAAGUCGGAGUUGCUAGUAAUCGCGGAUCAGCAUGCCGCGGUGAAUACGUUCCCGGGCCUUGUACACACCGCCCGUCACACCAUGGGAGUUGGGAGUGCCCAAAGCCGGUGAGGCAACCGCAAGGAGCCAGCCGUCUAAGGCAAGACCAAUGACUGGGGUG